UGGGAGGACAAUGGUGAGAAGAGGGAACCUAAGAAUUCCUGGACUCUGACUGGGCGUGAGAAAUGGCCGGAAGUAGCUUCGAGUCCGUCAUUCAAGCAGUAGAGGCUCUGGAGAAAAACUGGAGCGCAUCUGCUUAAAGGGCCGCCCAGGGUCAGGAUGGAGGGGCAAAGUCCGAGCAGGGGGUUUCCUCCCAUAUUGGAUCACGAUGAAAACUGCACAGAAAGUCCGUGCUCAGUUUCUUCCAUGGUUACAGAACACAGGCCCCAGACCAGGAAGGCAUUCUGCUAAAGAAGGGGACCCGAAACCUCAGCUACCAGCGCCGAUGGUUCAUCCUCCGAGGAAACCUCCUCUUCUACCUAGAACACUAGACCGACCAUGCACCCCUGAGCCUCAUCCUGUUAGAGAACUGCCAGGUGGAACCACACCUUAAGGCUGCAGAACCCUAUGCCUUUACCAUCCUGACCCCUGGGGUGGAGGGCACAGGUGGGCGGGCCUACAAGCUGGCUGCAGAAACCCAGGAAGAGCUGGAGACUUGGCUGUGGGCACUGGCUGGCGCGAGCUGGAGGCGGCUGGCUGGGCUGCUGUCCCCCCUCCCCCCCCACCAAAACCCAAUACUGGGAGCUGUGCCAGGCAACUGGCCAAGAACCCAUCUCAUCCCCAGAGGACAGUGGCUUUCUAGCCACUGUGAGUACCCCCUCCAGCUUCCAGGAGUUGCAUGAGCACUUUGGGAAGGAGAUCCGGGUGCUGCACGUGGUACAUAGAGAGCUCCAGGCAGCCAGUGACAAUGGAGACAGCAGAUCCCAGGCAAAGAUGGAGCAGGAGCUCAACCAGUGUCUGAUGAGUGACUGAGAGAUGGACCCAAAGCUAAGAGGUACCUACUUGCCAAGACAGCAGACUGCUUCAACAGAGACCCAGGCCCAGGCACAGUGGCUCACGCCUGUAAUCCCAGCACUUAAGGAGGCUAAGGCAGGCGGAUCGCUUGAGCCCAGGAGUUCAAGACCAGCCGGGGCAACAUGAUGAAAACCCAUCUCUAUCAAAAAACAAAUAAAAGUAAAAAUAAAAAUAACCUCCUCCUUAAUGCUUACCAUCAUUUCACAUACAAUAUACUUUCCUUUCCCUGAUUUAUUGUUUGUCCCCACUAAAAUAUAAACACCAUGAGAGGAGUUUUUGGUUUUUUGUUCACUGCAAUCAUUUGUGACUAGACAGUGCCUGGUAGAUAGCAGAUGCUCAAUAAAUAUUUGCUAAAGGAUGAAUUAUUGAUUUAAAAAAUUGUCCGGCUGACCGUGUUGGCUCACGCCUAUAACGCUAGCACUUUGGGAGGCCAAGGCAGGUGAAUCACCUAAGGUCAGGAGUUCGAGACCAGCCUGGCUAACAUGGUGAAACCCCCGUCUCUACUAAAAAUACAAAAAUUAGCCGGGUGUGGUGGCGCGCACCUGUAAUGCCAGCUACUUGGGAGACUGAGGCAGGAGAAUCACCUGAAUCCAGGAGGCAGAGGUUGCAGUGAGCCAAGAUCGUGCCACUGUACUCCUG
rnacentral:lncRNA from 1 species